GGGGGUGUUCAGGCAUUCGAUGUACAGAUGUCUGGAUCCUGCUGCAGCCGGGUGGUUCCGUAAAGACCAAACCUAAAGCGAAACGCUAGAAACAACAACUACGGCCAGAUGGCCUUUGCUGCUUAAUUUAAGAGUACUUAUCUCUUGCAGCCCCUUUGACAGCCUGUCAUCAGCUGUCAUUGCGUGAGAAACCUGAAUGACUAAGUCCGCUGUCCGGCAGGCAGCGGUACCGACAAUUUCGCCAGACCUUCCUUCUGUGGUUGUCCAUGCCGUAAGAGGAAGUGUACAAAGAUGGACUAAGCUGUAGAGGCAGGAUCGUGGGACGCUGUGCAGACAGGAGUUCGAUUCUCCUCACCUCCACCA
rfam:Faecalibaculum rodentium strain Alo17, complete genome.